UCCGGCUUGUCGCCGGCGGUCCCUUUAGAGUGCCCAACUGAAUGAUGGCAACUAAAGGCGAGGGUUGCGCUCGUUGCGGGACUUAACCCAACAUCUCACGACACGAGCUGACGACAGCCAUGCAGCACCUGUGUGUGAUCCGGCUUACCCGACGUCUCCCAUUACAGAGACUAUGAUCACCAUGUCAAGAGCUGGUAAGGUUCUGCGCGUAGCUUCGAAUUAAACCACAUACUCCACCGCUUGUGCGGGUCCCCGUCAAUUCCUUUGAGUUUUAAUCUUGCGACCGUACUCCCCAGGCGGGAUGCUUAUUGCGUAAGCGCCGACACUGACCAGCAUCCUGGCCAACAUCUAGCAUCCAUCGUUUACAGCGUGGACUAC
rnacentral:misc_RNA from 1 species